rnacentral:ribozyme from 1 species
UGCCCAGCAACUCCUAUCCCUACCUCCUCGUGGUACCGGCCGGAAACUAUGAGUAACCUUAGGGAAGAUCGGGUAACCAACCCCGGUGGGAACUUUGGUCGUAGGCUGACAGGGAAGA